rnacentral:rRNA from 1 species
CCUACGGGUGGCAGCAGUCGAGAAUCAUUCACAAUGGGGGAAACCCUGAUGGUGCGACGCCGCGUGGGGGAAUGAAGGUCUUCGGAUUGUAAACCCCUGUCAUGUGGGAGCAAAUUAAAAAGAUAGUACCACAAGAGGAAGAGACGGCUAACUCUGUGCCAGCAGCCGCGGUAAUACAGAGGUAUCAAGCGUUGUUCGAAAUCAUUGGGCGGAAAGCGUGCGUAGGCUGUUGCGUAAGUCGUGUGUGAAAGGCGCGGGCUUAACCCGCGGACGGCACAUGAUACUGCGAGACUAGAGUGAGGGAGGGGGAACCGGAAUUCUCGGUGUAGCAGUGAAAUGCGUAGAUAUCGCGAGGAACACUCGUGGCGAAGGCGGGUUCCUGGACAUUAACUGACGCUGAGGCACGAAGGCCAGGGGAGCGAAAGGGAUUAGAUACCCGUGUAGUC